AUGAUUUUUUAAUGGCUGCGGUAAUUUGACCGUACAAAGGUAGCAUAAUAAUUAGUCUUUUAAUUGAAGUCUGGAAUGAAUGAUUGGAUGAGAAAUUUACUUUCUUUAAUUUUUUAUUUUAAUUUAAUUUUUAAGUGAAAAAGCUUAAAUUUUUUUUUGGGACGAUAAGACCCUAUAGAUCUUUAUUUAAUUUUUUUUUAUAAAUUUUUGGUUUUUUUAAUUUAUUUAUUUUUAUUUAAAUUUGGUUGGGGUGACAGUAAAAUUUUUUUGUCUUUUAUUUUUUUUUUCAUUAAUUUAUGAUUUUAUUGAUCUUUUUUUAUUGAUUUAAAGAUAAAGUUACCUUAGGGAUAACAGCGGGAUUUAUUUUUAGAGUUCUUAUCGAUGAAUAAGUUUGCGACCUCCAUGUUGGAUUAAAAUUAGGGGGGGGGGAAGAUUUUUUUUAUUCUAGGUCUGUUCGACCUUUAAAUUCUUACA
rnacentral:rRNA from 1 species